rnacentral:lncRNA from 1 species
GAGGAGCAGGAGGAGGAGGAGGAGGUGUCAUCUGUGGACAAUACCUGGAAGGGCAAGGGGUGGUGGGUGUCACUAAAAGGAACCAGCCCCAGCUACUUCACUGCAGGCUGGUGCCCUGGUGAAGGUGAAUCAGUCAGAGGAGUGCUGACUGCCCAUGGGGCUGCACCAUAUCAUGGUUCCCACUAGCAAUAUAUGAGAGUUCCAGUUGCUCCACAACCUCGCCAACAUAUGACAGGUGCUUUUGUUAAAGAUCUUGCUGUUGAUUCCCGGGCAAGAUGGCUGAAUAGGAACAGCUCGGGUCUGUGGCUCCCUAAGAGAUCAACGCAGAAGGCGGGUGAUUUCUG